GCUCUGGGAAGAAACAGCUGUGAGAAGCAUUUUGGAAUUCCUUUCUGCUGUGGUAUGAGAGCUGCAUUUUACUUCAGUCUCUUCACCUUAGCCCUUGCCUGACACAAGCUGCAGGUUUGCUUGUGCCUGCUCUAGCGCCUUGCCUGGUUCACUUCAGACUGGCCUCGUUGUUUGAUUGGUCAGACAAUCGGGCUGUUGGCUGGCCAUGGUCACUGUCACAAAACCUGCACUGCCCUUCUUAUUCAGGUGUACAAGCUUAUCAAAUUGGACAGAAUUAAGGACACUAUGACAAGGAGAUUUCAGGCCACUAAACUAGUUUUUAUGACACACCCUGUGGAUCUACGUUUCACAGAAUCACAAAAUUUUUUCAUCUUCUCUUCAGGAGAAAAGCAUGUGGACUCUCAACUUUUAAUAAGUGUUGUGUCAUCCAGAGAAAACUAGAAACAGUUGUGUCCAAAGGAAAAGACAAUAUGAAGUGACAACUUACGCUGGCCUGCAAGAGCUUGAUCGCAUUAACUCCCUAAUGGAGAAGCUAAUGUAUGUCGCCACUCUACCAUGUGUAAUCAUCUCAGACUGGAGAGAACAGUAUUUCCUCCAGCUGAAUACGUUUUGAUCAAUUCUCAAAAUAUUACUGCAACAUUCAUUUUUAUCUGUGACUGGUAAAGAACUUUAAUUUACAUAUUACCACUUGUUUUCAUUUCACAGUUUUAAAGGAAUUCAGUGAAGUGAAAGAGUAAAUGAUAUAAAUGAUAAAUAGAUAAUACUCAUUCAAAGUGUAUCAGUAUUUUGUCAUGCUUCAAGAACCUGCCAUGUAGUACAUACCUACACCUAAGCCGCUGCUCACCUCUUGCCUGAGGCUUUGGGAUUAAAGUAGCCAGUGGUCAACCUUACUCAGCAAAUUUUUUCUUUCCAACAAAGCUAGUGGGUUACUGUGAAUAACGCAAUGGAAGACUUGCACCUUCUGGUUCCAACUAAACAUGCAGCUACUUGAAGUUCAGUUUAUAUAAGAAGUGUGUAUAAACAAAAUGGCUGCAUAUUUUCUACUUAAUUAGAAAUGUUGAGAUAAUUAUUUUUGUAGAUGUAGAUCUUUGUGAUCGAACACAGCUAGAGGAUUUGGUACUUCAUGAUAAGGCUUUACUUUAGACAGAAUUUGUUCCAUGCAAAGUCUUUUGAAAAUUGUUACAAUACUUCUAGCCUAAAUGUAGAUCAAGGAAUCAGUGCAGGAAAAUAGUAUUGAAACAGUCUAUUUCAAUGAUAGAGCUACUUGCAAAAUGCAUUAAAAAUGCCUUUGCUUGUUCAUUGUGCUGAGACUCUUUACUGUAAGAGAGAACUCAAAUGGUGUCACCUGAUAUAAAUAAAAUCUUGUGGUGUUAAGAAAAGUACUAGGAGCAAAGAGAUGAAAACAAGCAGCUUAUAGCAAUGAAAAGCAAAUGGCACAGCAUACCAGGUAUUCUGGAAGAAUACCAGAUGUGUUCUGCUUGCAGGACAUAAACACGGUUAUACUAUAAGGACUAAUGGAGACACAAAAUGCUGAACAAAACACAUGAAAUUAAAUUUUAUUAAUUGUUUUCAUUAUUACUAGUCAGUGUGUAUCUGUAUAGAUUUGUGAACGUAUAAAGCCACAAUGCCAUUUCUGAUACCUGCACAGUUCCAGUUAGACAACUGAAGAAAAGUACUGUAACAGCAUUUUUCAUCUGAGUUUAUGGUGUUCAAGCAACUGAACAUUUAUAACACUUAA